rnacentral:rRNA from 1 species
UACGAAGGGGGCUAGCGUUGCUCGGAAUCACUGGGCGUAAAGGGUGCGUAGGCGGGGCGUUAAGUCAGGGGUGAAAUCCUGGAGCUCAACUCCAGAACUGCCUUUGAUACUGAAGAUCUUGAGUUCGGGAGAGGUGAGUGGAACUGCGAGUGUAGAGGUGAAAUUCGUAGAUAUUCGCAAGAACACCAGUGGCGAAGGCGGCUCACUGGCCCGAUACUGACGCUGAGGCACGAAAGCGUGGGGAGCAAACAGG